AGAGUUUGAUCCUGGCUCAGAGCGAACGCUGGCGGCAGGCUUAACACAUGCAAGUCGAGCGGGCGCAGCAAUGCGUCAGCGGCAGACGGGAGAGUAACACGUGGGAACGCGCCCUUCGGUUCGGAAUAACUCAGGGAAACUUGAGCUAAUACCGGAUACGCCCUAACGGGGAAAGAUUUAUCGCCGAAGGAACGGCCCGCGUCUGAUUAGCUAGUUGGUGAGGUAAUGGCUCACCAAGGCGACGAUCAGUAGCUGGUCUGAGAGGAUGGCCAGCCUCACUGGGACUGAGACACGGUCCAGACUCCUACGGGAGGCAGCAGUGGGGAAUAUUGGACAAUGGGCGAAAGCCUGAUCCAGCCAUGCCGCGUGAGUGAUGAAGGCCCUAGGGUUGUAAAGCUCUUUCACCGGUGAAGAUAAUGACGGUAGCCGGAGAAGAAGCCCCGGCUAACUUCGUGCCAGCCGCCGCGGUAAUAC
rnacentral:rRNA from 1 species